UUCAGGCCUUAGCUAUCAGAGGGAGAGCACACAAAGAGCAGAAGAUGAGGAAGAGGACAAGAUGACACAGGAGAGGUGACUGAUGCCCGGUAAGAAGGUGAACAUGACAUAUACACCCGUCAGCAGCAAGAAAGGAACCACGAGACAGGUGACUGAUACCCGGUGAGAAGAUGAACGUGACAUAUACCCGCGUCAGCUGCAAAAAAGAAAUCACGGGACAGGUGACUGAUGCUCGGUGAAAAGGUGAACUUGACAUAUACCCGCGUCAGCUGCAAAAAAGGAACCAUGAGACAGGUGACUGAUGCUCGGUGAAAAGGUGAACUUGACAUAUACCCGCGUCAGCUGCAAAAAAGGAACCAUGAGACAGGUAAUUAAUAUUUAUAUUAAUUACUGAUAACAAUUAGGCUAGAUGUAAUAUCUAGACCUGCCGAGAUGUUAUAGUCUCUCCCUUAUACAGAAGAUAUAUGUGUUGUUAAUAAGUAUAUCGUCUAUGGACAGCUUCUUAUAUAACACAACGGAUAUCUCAGGUACAGUGAUUAGGAACAUUUAUGAUCCUUAUUCUCUGUGUUUUUUUAUUUGUAGGAAUACCCCUUUUCAAUAUUUAACAGAAUAGACUAAACUGACUGCAGAGUUUACAAGUUUACUUUAGACCAGUGUUUCCCAAACUUUUUCGUCUCAAGGCACCCCUUGGAAAAAAUGUUUUUUGCUUGGCACCCCUACCAAAGUUGACGAGCAAAGAAAAUUAAACAAAGGGAAAAAGCCGCAAUUCACAAUAUGGGGUGUAGAGGAGUGUACACGGGUGGCAGAGGGGUGUAGAGAAGUGUAUAUGGGUGGCAGAGGGGUGUAGAGGAGUGUAGGGGGUGAUAGAGAGGUGUACAUGGGUCACAGGGUUGUAGAUGGGUGAUAGAGGUGUGUAGAAGAGUGUACAUGGGUGACAGAGGGGUGUAGAGAAGUGUACAUGGGUGACAGGGGAUGUAGGGGGUGACAGAGGGGUGUAGGGGGGUAAUAUAGGGGUGUACAUGGGUGACAGAGGGGUGUAGAGGGGUGACAGAUGGCUGUAGAAGAAAGUGCAUGGGUGAGAGAGGAGUGUACAUGGGUGAUAGAGGGGUGUACAUGGGUGACAGGAAGGCGUGGGGUAACAGAGAGGUGUGCAUGGGUGACAGUGAGGUGUUGGGAGUGUAGUGGAGUGUACAUGGGUGACAGAGGAGCGUAGAAGAGUGUACAUGGAAAACAGAGGGGUGUAGAGGAGUGUAUAUGGGGACAGAGGGGUGCAGAGGAGUGUACAUGGGUGACAGAGGAGCAUAGAGGAGUGUACAUGGGUAACAGAGGGGUGUUUAUGGGUGACAGAGGAGUGUACAGGAGUGUACAUGGGAAACAGAGGGGGGCAGAGAAGUGUACAUGGGUGACAGAAGAGCGUAGAGGAGUUUACAUGGGUAACAGAGGGGUUUUGAGGGGUGUACAUGAGUCACAGAGGGGUGUUCAUGGGUGACUCAGGGGUGUACAGGAGUGUACAUGGCUGACAGAGGGAUGUAGAGGAGUGUAUAUGGGGGGCAGAAGGUGUGUAAAG